UGCAGUUGUGUCUGUGCUAACAGACCGUAGAGAACUGAAAAGAAUGAACAUGGAUAUAUAUUACAUUUAAAGACAUUGGUUACGAAAUGGGAUGUUCGCUUUUUGGAGAUGAUUUCACUGUAUGGAAGAGAGUGAGGAACCAGCAAGAUAUCCAACCAUCUGGGCCAGAACCAGCAGCUCCCAGUGAACUCCAGGGAGACCAAAAGUCACUCUUCCUGCAGUAAAGACACAGCGGUGGGGUUCAUGGGGAGAAGGCACAGUUGAUUCUACUGAAUACACCACCCACCGAACCCAAGAUUCAAGAGGCAAAAAGAAGUUGUGACAAUACCUUUGGUUCUUUAAGGACAUUUUGAAGUGAUGUGGAGAAAAGCAGAGUAAGAACAGCAAAGAAAUUCUGGGUCUCCGUGACACGACACCAGGAAGGGAUGGGGUGCAAACUGUGAGGAGAAACUGAAGCAGAUGUUGCAAUGGAGGCCAAGGGAGAACGAGAGAAGGGAGAUAGGAAAUGGUUUGGAUUUUUUGACAGAUGGCUCCCAAAGCCGUACGGAAAUCCCCCGAACCUCCACACUCUCUUUCUGCUCCAGACCCGUUUUGCAGCGCCUGCUGAUGAACCUCCGCUGACUGUCUGUCUCAUUGUAUCGUCUUCUCGUCCGUUCUUGUCUGCCUUAAUUCCGUCUUUCUUUAAUCUGCUGUUUCAUCUUGAAGAAACGCCAGAAAUUCAGCCCUGUGGCGCUCGCAUAAAUAUUAUCUAAGAAAAAUUCUGGGGCUGGAAAGCGAGCAUUAGCUGAAAUAGCCCUCACAGAUGCGCACAGUUGUCCAUUUGAAAUAUUUCCCUCGCCUGCACAUGGCAGCAGUCAGGAGCUCUGGAAUUCAUAAGCAACACAGACAAGUAUGUAUUAAAUCAUGGUAGGGAGAGGUUUAACCUUCAGCUGGAAUGCAGAGCCCUGAAUAAUCCAUUAGCUGCUCAACACUGCUGCUACGAAACUAACUCCAGCGCUAUACAGUGCAGUGGAACAAACGCAGCCCUUAGCGUGCGUGACGUGGACUGUUGCAAAAACAAGACGUAAUCUCCGAAGGAAAGUACGGAAAAAUGCGACACUGAGGAAACCCAGAGAUCUGGAAACAUGGAAAAAAA